AGUGGAAGGAUCAUAAACUGAUCCCCUAGUCAAUCAGUCUGGCUGCCCUCAAGCAUGGUAUUUGUAUCAUCAGAAAAAUUCUGACUCCCAAACAGCAGUGUUUUCUGUAAUGCUGUCUCUCAAAGGCAACCCAAGUUGCCUUUUGAUUACAAGCCUGCCGUGGCUUCUGACAAACAUACUUUAACAUUAAUAUUUGCAGCUGAACUACAUUCUGGUCUGAUGAACACUUCCAGGUUUUCAAAACUGCUGUGGGAAGAAUCAGAAAGUAAACAUGAGGACUGCUGUCCACAAACCCACAUGCGUCUAGCUAAGUGAUAAUUUUCAAUAUGAACAGUAAGUAAUACAGAGUCUUUGGGUUCCAGAUAGUCGGGAGUAUAAAUAUGCAUGCUUUCCCUGGUUGUUUUUAAAAACACCUACUAAAUUAGCAUUUAUUUUUAAAAGUUUGGCCCUUUAUUUAAUUAUUUUCUUGUCCGUAUCCAAAGACAGAACAUAAAGUUUGCUGCACAAAGUACACAUGGAAAUAUUCUAUUACAGUUUUGAAAAUAGGAUUUAGUCUUUUAACCUGCUUGGGUAUUAUACAGAGUGAUCCAAAUCAGAUGUGACUUGUAUGGAAUUAUGUUGAACUUUUUGCUUUGUCUGAAAUUCAUAUCAUGCGGCAAUAAUGGUGCUUUUUCAAUUGCCUGUAUUUUAAGGAUGCUGAUAAAGCACUGGAGCAAUGCCAGGUAUUUUAGGAAAUACAUUGCAGUUUCCCUGGCUCCCCAGAUGUUACAAUACAUUGUUUGUUGCUGGAAUAAAGGGAUUUCCAUGGCAUGGCCCCAGGAUUCUGCAAGCAGCCAGCACUGCUGCAAUUAUUGAUCUCUGCUGGACAGCCAAGGAAUGAAAUCACAGGAAAAUGGAGCUGUCUCUUGGGAUGGUUACCUCUAAGUUCUGCAUUGACAGAAUACACCAGAAGGUCAUUUAAAAAGUUGGAGAAGCUGUGAAGUCUCUGUUUGUGAAAAUCAGUUGUACCCUAAAUCCUACCAGACAGAACCGAAAAAAGCAUUUCAUGCUUGCUUUCACGGCUGCCAGUUCAUGGCAGCAUUGCCUCAACACUGCUAUUUAAGCCAGUUCCAGCCUUCUUUAGGAUCCUUUCAUCAGCUUACCUAAACUGCCCAGGCUAAUCGAGUGUCUGUUAAACCCUCUGAAGGUGCUAGGAAAUCCACUCUGCUCUGCUGUUGAAUUUCAUCCCGGUUAUCUGCGUGCAGAAGCUUGCUUUUCCAUGUAAUUGGCUGAACUGAGCAGUGAAGCUCAUUUCUCUCCAAGCAUGGGAAAUGUAGAUAAUGAAUUACCUGUUGUGUGGUAUAUUUCAUGAUCCUGAUAGCCUUUAAAAUAUUUUUCUGGUUCCAUUCUUUCCUACAGUGUUACAAGUCUGCUUGACGAAGUUAUUGGCAGUCUUGUGUUCUCUAUAUGCCACUGUUGUGAAAGAUGCAUCUGUUUUUCCAUUAUUGUCUGAAGUGAGCUUUGUAUGUAACAGCUCUCUAGUCCAUUGUAGUGCUUAUCAGUACCAUGUUGGCCCACAGCAUUAUAACUACAGCUGAACAGUGAGCAGAAAAAAAUCCUAUCAAUCCAAUUAGAAACGCUGUCAUUAAAACAACAGAAAAUUAUAACAUUAUAAAAAAAAGACUUGAACAACAAGAACCCAUUUGAAUCUAAGUAAUUCUGUAGAUCCUAAGGUAAGAUAGUUCCAGCAUUAUAUUCUAGAAAAAAUGUUGAGGCUUUUUCUCAGCAAUACUGGUACGCUUCAAGCUGAGUUUCAGUUUCUUAUUGGCAUUUUAUGAGACUAUUCAGUGUUUCCAGCCCUCACCAGGAAUAUUUCAUAAAGAUUUUCCCAUGAGAUGUCAUUUUUCACUUUCACUGGACAAAGACAAGCCUGAUAACCUGCUACAUUGCAUAAGCAUAUUGCUCCAGUUCAUUGAAUAUUUGGCAUUAAAUUUUGAUUUGUUCCUGAGUAAAAUCCAUGAAGCUGUUACAUAUGUAUAAUGCUUUCUAUGAUGUCUAUGUUCUGUAUAACCCUGAAACCUUCUAUUUCUUUGUGUCUUACCUGGAUUCAGGUGUCAGCUCAUCUGACUGUUGUAAGAAGUAUACAAGUGACCCACAGAAGAGAAUCUAGAAUCUGCUUAUCCUGUUGAUCUGAAUUUGUACUGACUUUGUAGAUACAUAGGGAAUACUGAAAAACCUUUUCACCCUCAAAAGUCACCCUGUUCCCCAGGCUCUGUUGACUGUAGGCACUUAAAUCAGUGAUGUUCAUUUAAGUCAAAACUUUCAAAUCUUUUCCUAAGGGAAGGGCAAUGAUAAGCAAGAAUUAAUUUUAUUAUCCAGUGAAGUUACCUUCAGUAUUCAGUCAAUGCAAUCAAAGCCAGCGAUCUGCUCUUCUUUGUGACCCGCUCCUUUUUUAUAAUAGAACUUGCUCUAUGCCAGAAUGUGCUCCCUUAUUAGUGAUGGUUAUAGAAACUAAACUUCCACUAUAAAAUAGUAAUUGUUUUUUAUGCUUCACAAGUAGAAUAAAAUCUAGGCAAAACAUUUCUGAUGGAUGUUUAGAAUUACUAACUGCUAAUAAGUGAAUUAGAUGUAUUUUGGGAAAGGUGUUGAGUGUUUUUUAUCAUUCAAGGUAAAAUCAGUACUAAACAAUCUCUCAUACACUAGCAGCAAUGUAAUCAAACAAGCUGAUUGGGUAGGAAAUAAGGAAUGAAGCUAAUCAGAAAUGUAUAUUAUUUACUGGUGAAUGUUUAUAGACAAACUCUUAUAUGUGCUUGAGAGAAUGGAAUAAAAUGUUUCCUACAUGAUGGCAUUUAAGCUUUAAAGGAGAUGAGCAGUUUCAGAAAGGACGUUAGUCAUUACUAGUAGGUUGCUUGAACACAGAAAAUGCAAGAAAGGCUUAAUUCCCCUUUUCAUUAUCCCCUAUUCAUUUUAUCUCUUUUCUCCCAACCUUAUACAUAUUCAUGUCUGCCUAGAGGGUCCCUUUACACAGCUGAGCAUGGGAAUUGCUGUUUGUGAAAGUUAGACUCUACCUUCAUGUUACAAUGUGUGACAGAGAAAAUGGACUGGAGCAGCUCAUCUACUCCUGGGCACCAAAUUGUUGCAGAGGAAAAUAUUUCUUUAAUUGAUUAAAAUGCUAGACUGCGUUUUCCAUAAAUAGAAUCUGAAUCUUAUUGGCCUUGGACACCAUGCUUUAUCUGAAGUAUGUUUCAUGCUGGAAGCUGGGUUUUGCAUCAUGGGGUUUUAAAAUGUGGAAGCAUGCAGGGAAAAGAAAUUUAAAAAGCAUGCAGGAAAAGAAAUUUAACAUCAUGUAGACAAAAUAAUGAAAAUAUGUUUUCAGAUUUGAAAUAGACAUAAAGUAGAUACUGCAUGGAAUUGGGUGUUUUUCCAUUGUAAACAUGGAAAGGCAUGUAAAGCCAAAUGCAGUUAGAUCCCUGUACAGUCCCAUACUUCCGACUGAGAGAUUUUUUUUGCUGACUUCAGUGGCAGUGGAAUUAGGGACAGCAUAACCUUCUUGGAUUUUGCAUGGCAAAUGUCAGCUUCUCAUCACAGGACCAUGUAAUAUGCUAGAAAGACUGAAUUUUUUAGUUCGUACUUUUAGAUUUUUACAGUUCAUACUGCUGUGACACAAGGUACUUGAGAUAUUUUGCAUAAAGUCCCAAAGUACCUGAAGGGCCCUGCCACUCCUGUGCUCUUGCUGCCAAGCAGCACUCAGCCAUCUGUUCUUUCAUUUGUUCAUUUAAAGGAGCAUGGACACUUCUCAUAAAGCUAUGCAGAAAUUUGCCUUUGCUGAUGAGGUAGAAUACAAGCUACUAUAUGAU